UGGAUUUGUACUUUCCUACUAAUUAUACUAAAUAGGUUCACCUUGCUAGUCUUGGUGUAAGGGUGGUGGCUCAGGUCUAUGAGAAAUACAAGGGGGGAGGUUCAUUCUCACUUCCCUUUCACGUGUUAUGUGCCAUGCUGUUGUGACCAUGUCAGUCCCAGGAUACUAGAGUGACAAGAUGUGGGCCUAGUCUACGCUACAACGUUUUACCAGCAGAACUUGCCUUAUUUUGGCACAUCCUCAUGAAGCUCCACACUCAAUUUUGAGUUCUGCCAACACUGACUUUUCCCAAAUGACAAACCCUCUACUGGCACGGUUCCAUUAGUACAGACACAGUGCCUUUGUGGAUGCUGCAUUACCUGUAUCACUAAAAACAGGCCCACAAUAGGCACAACGAUGACCAUUGUGAUCACCAUUUCGAACUCUGCUGCCAGGGGGGGUCACAGUGACCAAAAGCCUACCCUCCAUUUUAAAAUGCCCACGGGUGUGGCUGAGUGCAAAGCUACAGCUACACCUCAUGCUACUGCCUAGCUCAGGAAUGUAGUCCUGAACAACCUUGGCCUGUGAGGAGAAGAAACAGUGCAAGUUCCGCUGCAGAAUACUGGCAGAAAUAAAUAUGUUAAUUUGGACAAAAAUGGUGCAGAAAGAUUAUGGGAUGGAACCAUGGGCGCCGACUUAU